UCUCUGGUAGUAUAUCGGUUAGUACACGCGCCUGUCAAAAUAGGUCCACGGAGAUACUGGUUCGCGCGAAAGCUGGGUUCGACUCCCAGCCAGAGAG